GAUCAUGGCUCAGAUUGAACGCUGGCGGCAUGCUUUACACAUGCAAGUCGAACGGUAACAGGCCUUCGGGUGCUGACGAGUGGCGAACGGGUGAGUAAUGCAUCGGAACGUGCCCAAUCGGUGGGGGAUAACGUAGCGAAAGUUACGCUAAUACCGCAUAAGCCCUGAGGGGGAAAGCAGGGGAUCGCAAGACCUUGCGCGAAUGGAGCGGCCGAUGUCAGAUUAGCUAGUUGGUGGGGUAAAGGCCUACCAAGGCGACGAUCUGUAGCGGGUCUGAGAGGAUGAUCCGCCACACUGGGACUGAGACACGGCCCAGACUCCUACGGGAGGCAGCAGUGGGGAAUUUUGGACAAUGGGCGCAAGCCUGAUCCAGCCAUGCCGCGUGCGGGACGAAGGCCUUCGGGUUGUAAACCGCUUUCAGCCGGAAAGAAAUCGCCAAGGCUAAUAUCCUUGGUGGAUGACGGUACCGGAAGAAGAAGCACCGGCUAACUACGUG
rnacentral:rRNA from 1 species